UCGAUUUGUGAUCUGUCACAUGUGGUGUUGGUCUGACCUUGUUUUUGGUUCUCCUGCAGUGAAACUGCCCGGCGGAGCCCCUAACGGCGCCCCUACUGAAGAUUUGCUUCAGAUCAUAGAAGCUUGGGUUGAUGGAGUGCUUGUCUUUAGUUUUUGUUUUGACUUUGUGAAACUUGCUACCUAUGAUGAAACUGUGUAAUAUUGAUGAAACUAUGUAUAUGUAUGGAU
rnacentral:rRNA from 1 species